UACGAAGGGGACUAGCGUUGUUCGGAUUUACUGGGCGUAAAGCGCGCGUAGGCGGAUCACUAAGUCAGGGGUGAAAUCCCGAGGCUUAACCUCGGAACUGCCUUUGAUACUGGAGAUCUGGAGAUCGGGAGAGGUUGGUGGAAUUCCGAGUGUAGAGGUGAAAUUCGUAGAUAUUCGGAGGAACACCAGAAGCGAAGGCGGCCAACUGGCCCGAUACUGACGCUGAGGCGCGAAAGCGUGGGGGAGCAAACAGG
rnacentral:rRNA from 1 species